AGAGUUGAUCCGCAGCCUGACAGCCGGGUUCCCGUCCGACCCGCGCAGCCCAGCCCUGCCCAGAAUGAAAAAGGCAGGCAUUGACCUCCCUCUGAGGCAGUUUCAAGGAGUCCAUGAAACAAGAUCUGCCAGAGUAGUGGAGUCCCAGCUUCCACCAUGGUUCUUUCUGACCUUUCCUUUCGCUCUAUCAUCUCUCCUCUCCUGCUGCAUGAAGUAAAGAGGGUGUGUGUAACUGUCCCAUAAAUAGAGACAUCCUGAUUGGAGACUCCAGAGAGGGGAGUGGGGCUUGUGCUGGAGUUCCUGCUACUGUUGUUGGGGGUAGUUGGGGUUGAGGAGGGUGCCUAAGGGCCUCUCCUUGAGGACUGUCAGAUGGAGAGGGCAGAAUGGAAUCUGAUGUGACUACAGCUUCC
rnacentral:lncRNA from 1 species